GUUGGCCAGCCCUGCUUUAAAGAUUCAGUUGCUGUUUUCAUUUUUUUGUUUUAGGGGGUGUCCAGAUUACGUCUUCUUUUUAAUGCAACAUUUUAAUAACACUGGUUUGGGGGGUUUUGAAAUCCCAAGUAAGACAAUUUAAGAAGCUGACAAUCAUUUUUUUAAACCAUGUCCAUUGCAAACUUGAACUGGUUACAAAGUGGUAUUAAACAGAGGACCUAUGGUGAGAAACCAAUAUCUGAAUAAUUGUGCUGUGUAUAUUCAGAAACUUUGUAAAUAAUAGUGUGAACAUACUAGGGUGCAUUGUAAUCAUUCUAUUUAAAACAUAUUGGUUUAAAAACCACUGUCGUCUCUAGCCAUCUGUCACACAGCGUCUCUGUCACUGCCCGGUGAACUACAGCUGGGCUCCCAUACCUACUCCAAAAGACGUGACAACAACAGGAGCUUUUGCCUUGGGAGAAUCCAAUUGGGAAAGACCCUGACUGUUCAAGGGCCCAAAUCCCAAAGUCUCUGAACUAAGAUGCUCCAGCAGUGACAUUACAAUGCUUUAUCUAGUUUAUGGUUUUGCAUCACACUCAUCGCUGCAAUGUUAGAAUAAGUACCAGGGAAAUGAACUAGUGAGCAGCAGACAGGCAAGGUGAUUAAAGGUGAAGUUCCGCUCUGAAAAGUGACUAUCAACAUGACUGUGAGCUGCCAUGAUGACUAUAGGAUCGGACUGAGCGUUGCCCGAUGUGGUACAGGAGGGAGAUCUAAGGAGGAUCUGACCAGUGGCGUACUUGGGAAUAAGCAAACAACAUUUUCCAUUCUACAGCUUCACCAAUUAUUAAAGUCAAUAACAUACUCCUCUUUCUUCUCCAACAAGUGCUCCUCCAGGAGGAUCUUCCUUCAACCCUACUUCCUUGCAUGGUAAGGUGUUCCCUUCCAACCCAUGCUGUCAAUGUCGGUAGAGCCACUUUUGGAAAUUCUUCUUUGCUAUCAUUACCUUCUCAUCCCUUCUCUUCCCUCUCCCUCCCCCGCCCCGCCAAGUUGCUUUGCCCCCUUGGUCAUUGGGCUUUCCCUUUGCUCUAGUUGGCUGCAGCCAGCAUCCUGGCAACACCUUUUGGGAAUGAGAUUCCCAUGCCCAAGGCUUUAGCUGCAAAUCCAGCCAGGUACUGUUGUCCCUACUCAAACUCCUCUGAGUACUUAUUGGUGUUUCCCUUGCCCUAAUAAGGGUGUGCACUUGCUCUACUGUAAUCAUUCACUCCAAAUUAUCUUCACCAAAAUAAAGUUUUCUUUAUUUUGGAAAGUAGAGGGGAAAUGUAAGGAAAUGAAGCAACACAGAAUAUAGCACCUCUAGGGAAGGCAAAAUGA